rnacentral:lncRNA from 1 species
AACCAGUUCAGAUUCUUCGUUUGAAAUAAAAAUACUAUUAGUCAAAGGAACAUUAUUAUGGCAGCAAGCAUUUACCUUUUUAUGCAGUGCUCGGAGACCUUGUUGGUGAUGUGCUCGGAGAUCUCAGCCACGGCAAAACAGGGAAGUAAAGCAAUCGCUUACUUCCAGCCAAAAAUCUAAACCAAAACAGGGAAGUAAAGCAAUCACAUAGAGUUAAUUAACAAAAUCUAAACCAAAAAACUGGACAAUAUAAAUAAAAAGGUGAAUCGCAGAAGAAGGGUACCGCAGCUAUGAAUCGGAGAACAGGAUGUGGCGUUAAUAAUUCAAGCUAAUGAAUUUAUAGAUAAAAAUCUAGGGUUUAAGUUUCCUUCGAUAAAAUUCUUUCCAAAAAAAAUUCUUUCUAAAGUUUAUAACCAUUCUAUAUUUACAUAAUCUGCAGCAACCGAAAAUUAAUUAACAUAAAAAUCUAGGGUUUAAGUUUCCAUUGUUAAAAAUCUUUCCAAAAUUCUGGAAAAAAGAAGAAAAAUAAGUCAAACAUUUAAUACUUACCAUAUGGGGGAAGGGAGGUGGCAGAUCGAAUUCUGGUUUUCUGGUGGUGGGAGGGGCAGAUCGGCGGCCAUGGCUGCCGUGGUCGCCGGAAAUCGCAAAGAGGCGGUGAGGAUUUGAGGAUCUAGGGGCGCGGCGAUUCGCGGCAGGUGCUGGCGAGGCGAAUCCAUGGUUGACUAACGCAUUCAAUUUGUUUCCUGCGACAAUUCACAACUAAAGUCAUUUCCAGAAUUUCAUUAUUCUAAACGCAUUCAAUUUGUUUCCUAAAAUAAUACUUACCAUGGCUGAUGGCGGCGGGGAGGGGAAGGUCAGAGAAUCGAUGAGGGUGCUUUCAAAUAGCCGCGGCAGGGGAAGGAGAGAGUCACUUGAGGCUGGACGACGAAUCGCGGUGGGGGGAAGGAAGAACUGGCGAAGCAGAUCAUGGCGGUGGGAGGGGCGGGGCGCGGUGGGGCAGAUCGCUGCGGGGGCCAGGCACGGUGGGUGGAGGGAAGGAGACGGCGAGGCAGAUCGCGGAGGUGGGCG